GAGGAAUAUUGGUCAAUGGACGAGAGUCUGAACCAGCCAAGUAGCGUGAAGGAUGACUGCCCUAUGGGUUGUAAACUUCUUUUAUACGGGAAUAAAGUGAGGCACGUGUGCCUUUUUGUAUGUACCGUAUGAAUAAGGAUCGGCUAACUCCGUGCCAGCAGCCGCGGUAAUACGGAGGAUCCGAGCGUUAUCCGGAUUUAUUGGGUUUAAAGGGAGCGUAGGCGGACGCUUAAGUCAGUUGUGAAAGUUUGCGGCUCAACCGUAAAAUUGCAGUUGAUACUGGGUGUCUUGAGUACAGUAGAGGCAGGCGGAAUUCGUGGUGUAGCGGUGAAAUGCUUAGAUAUCACGAAGAACUCCGAUUGCGAAGGCAGCUUGCUGGACUGUAACUGACGCUGAUGCUCGAAAGUGUGGGUAUCAAACAGGAUUAGAUACCCUGGUAGUCCACACAGUAAACGAUGAAUACUCGCUGUUUGCGAUAUACAGUAAGCGGCCAAGCGAAAGCGUUAAGUAUUCCACCUGGGGAGUACGCCGGCAACAGUGAAACUCAAAGGAAUUGACGGGGGCCCGCACAAGCGGAGGAACAUGUGGUUUAAUUCGAUGAUACGCGAGGAACCUUACCCGGGCUUGAAUUGCAACUGAAUGAUGUGGAGACAUGUCAGCCGCAAGGCAGUUGUGAAGGUGCUGCAUGGUUGUCGUCAGCUCGUGCCGUGAGGUGUCGGCUUAAGUGCCAUAACGAGCGCAACCCUUAUCGAUAGUUACCAUCAGGUUAUGCUGGGGACUCUGUCGAGACUGCCGUCGUAAGAUGUGAGGAAGGUGGGGAUGACGUCAAAUCAGCACGGCCCUUACGUCCGGGGCUACACACGUGUUACAAUGGGGGGUACAGAAGGCAGCUACACGGCGACGUGAUGCUAAUCCCGAAAGCCUCUCUCAGUUCGGAUUGGAGUCUGCAACCCGACUCCAUGAAGCUGGAUUCGCUAGUAAUCGCGCAUCAGCCACGGCGCGGUGAAUACGUUCCCG
rnacentral:rRNA from 1 species